CGUGUAGGCGGACUCGCAAGUCGGUUGUGAAAUCCCUGGGCUCAACCUAGGAACUGCAUCCGAAACUGCUUGUCUUGAGUAAUGGAGAGGGUGGCGGAAUUCCCGGUGUAGAGGUGAAAUUCGUAGAUAUCGGGAGGAACAUCAGUGGCGAAGGCGGCCACCUGGACAUUUACUGACGCUGAGACGCGAAAGCGUGGGGAGCAAACCGGAUUAGAUACCCGAGUAGUCC
rnacentral:rRNA from 1 species